rnacentral:rRNA from 1 species
CCUACGGGGGGCUGCAGUGAGGAAUAUUGGUCAAUGGACGGAAGUCUGAACCAGCCAUGCCGCGUGCAGGAAGACGGCUCUAUGAGUUGUAAACUGCUUUUGUACAAGGGUAAACCUGAAUACGUGUAUUCAGCUGAAAGUACUGUACGAAUAAGGAUCGGCUAACUCCGUGCCAGCAGCCGCGGUAAUACGGAGGAUCCAAGCGUUAUCCGGAUUUAUUGGGUUUAAAGGGUGCGUAGGCGGAUUGAUAAGUUAGAGGUGAAAUGUUCGAGCUUAACUCGGGAACUGCCUCUAAUACUGUUGAUCUAGAGAGUAGAUGCGGUAGGCGGAAUGUAUGGUGUAGCGGUGAAAGGCUUAGAGAUCAGACAGAACACCGAUUGCGAAGGCAGCUUACCAAUCUAUAUCGGACGUUGAGGCACGAAAGCGUGGGGAGCAAACAGGAUUAGAUACCCUGGUAGUC